rnacentral:piRNA from 1 species
UGCCAUAUUGAAUCUCCAUUAAAAAUUC